ACUAACCUAGACACAGGAUAAUGAUUUUUCAUUUUGGUCCCUGAAAUUAGCGAGUUGUACUGAAUUAGUCUUUGAGAUUUCAAUUGCACUAAAUUAGUUCCUCAGAUUUAAAAAAAUGUACCACGUUAAUUCUUCUUCCAAUUUCUGUCACUGGAGCACUGACGCCGUCAGUGACGUAGCCAGUUCUUGCCACUCUGGACAGAAUGAGACGAGGUCGUUUCUAAUUUGGCGCUAAACACCCCUUUGAACAACGUCGUUUGUAUGUGAUAAGAAAUAAAAUGUUAGGUACCCUUUUUUUGUUUCUACUCUUCGUCUUCUACUUCUCCAUCAGUGCAGAGAAAAAAAGGUUUCUCUUCCAUGAGUCACCCAAAGUAGCAACAGGUGGCUGCAAUAGAAUUUUUCGAGACCAUUGGAACACGACGUUUGCUGUGCAGUUGUCGGAAGAGUACGUUUGUCACUACAGGGAUCUUCUGUGUUAUCACUGAGGGUUUCUUUUUAUGCUCUGUCCCAAUGGUGGAAGAAUCAACACCCAUCAAAGACAAUAAGCCCGCUACCCUGGCUGAUAACACUUCACCACCCAACAUCACAGAACUAACAAAUCCUAAUGAAGCUGUCUACGACAAAGAGAGACCAAGAGUUACAUGGCCAAACCAAUUGAAUGCCCCACUUGAGGUUGUUGAUCCUUAGAUUGCUGAUAUAAUUAAGCUCGAAAAAGCUAGGCAAUGGAAGGUACAUUGAUAUGGCAGAAAGACUAUGUCAGAAGCGUGCCCUCGAGGCAUUUAGGUUGGAUCCAGCUAAAUGGGGAGUGAACGUUCAGCCUCUAUCUGGGUCUCCUUCAAAUUUUCAAGUUUAUACUGCAUUGCUAAAACCUCAUGACAGAAUCAUGGCACUUGAUCUUCCUCAUGGUAGACAUCUUUCUUAUGGAUACCAGGAUUAACCUCUAUUGUGGACCACCGGAGAACAGGGCGGCAGCCACACCCAUACCACUCUAGAAUACUCGAUGCUCUACUAGUUCCUCUGGAGAUCCUUCUGUUUGACCGCAGGAAACUCUGACUCCCACUUGCACUCAUGAUCCUAAACCCAAAAAGCUGCACAGUGAGGAAGAAGACGAAAAACCAGGAAAAGUGGGUAGAAGAAGAAGAGGAAGAAGUUAGGGCAGAAAUCUUGGUUAUAAAAGGAGACAAUGACUAAAUUGGAGCUAAUCAAAUUUAUUGCCAUGUCAUCUAACCAUUGCUGGGUCCAGUGUGGCAAGAACUGGCCACAUCACUGAUGGCGUCAGUGCUCCGGUGACGGAAAUUGGAAGAAGGACUAACGUGGUGCAUUUUUUCAAAUCUGGUGGAUUAAUUUAGUGCAAUUGGAAUCUUGAUGACUAAUUCAGUGCAACUCGCCAAUCUUAAGGACCAAAGUGGGACUUAACUCUGCAGGUGUGAAAACUAGGGGUGUGCAUGGCCCGGUCCGGCCCGAAGACCCGGCCCGGUCCCGAACACUUUAGGGACUAAUUUGAUGUGAUUU